rnacentral:tRNA from 1 species
GAAAUAUUUUUUAAGCUUCUAACUUAAUAUUAAGCAUAAUGUUUAUAUUUCU